UCGAGAAUUUUUCACAAUGGGGGAAACCCUGAUGGAGCGACGCCGCGUGGGGGAUGAAUGGCUUCGGCCCGUAAACCCCUGUCAUUUGCGAUCAACCGUUAUUAUUUAAAAGAUGAUGACCUGAUGGUAGCGAAAGAGGAAGGGACGGCUAACUCUGUGCCAGCAGCCGCGGUAAUACAGAGGUCCCGAGCGUUGUUCGGAUUCACUGGGCGUAAAGGGUGCGUAGGUGGUGGGGUAAGUCGGAUGUGAAAUCUCGGAGCUCAACUCCGAAAAUGCAUUGGAAACUGCCCUGCUUGAGGUUCGGAGGGGGGACUGGAAUGCUUGGUGUAGCAGUGAAAUGCGUAGAUAUCAAGCGGAACACCGGUGGCGAAGGCGAGUCCCUGGACGACACCUGACACUG
rnacentral:rRNA from 1 species